rnacentral:lncRNA from 1 species
GGGAAGAUCUAGAAGGAGAGUUGGAAAUUGAGUGGCUUACAUCAAGAUCAGACAAAGCGAAAGAAGAGAGAAGAAAGGAAAGAGGGAUAGAAGAGAGGAAAGGAGAAGAUCUCGGCGAGAAUAGACCGGUUGCAAGACCGACAUGAUAGGGUUUUGUUUGUGUUAGAGUCUGAUAUCUCGGUGAUCGAUUGGAUUGAUUUGAG